rnacentral:rRNA from 1 species
AAUGAAACCAGAUAUGACUUAGUGGCGGACGGGUGAGUAACACGUGAGCAACCUGCCUUUCAGAGGGGGAUAACGGCUGGAAACGGUCGCUAAUACCGCAUGACGUGUUCGGAUGGCAUCAUCUGAACAUCAAAGAUUUAUCGCUUAUGGAUGGACUCGCGUCAGAUUAGAUAGUUGGUGAGGUAACGGCCCACCAAGGCUGCGAUCGGUAGGGGUUCUGAGAGGAAGGCCCCCACAAUGGGACUGAGACACGGCCCAUACUCC